GGUUGAGGGACUGAUUACCUCAUCUGUAUAUAGUUCUACUGUCUCAAGUUAUGUCCUAGAAUUUGUAUUGAUAAAGCCACUGGAUGGCGAAACGUCUACAAUAAAGAUACCCAGAUGUUGCACAUGUGUCUUAAUUUCAUCUUGUCGGUAUUGUAUACCAUUCUUACACAACAGCAUAUUGUGUAAGACUCCCACCCAUUAUUAUUAUAAUAAAAAAGAAGCACUAAACCACAAGGGCUAUACAGCGCUGCAGACUGUCACCCAGUGUUGGUGUGUAUUGUAUUUGUUCAGUUGUGUUUUAAUUAACCUCUUAUGAUACAUGCAAUAUAUUUCUUCUUAUGUCAAUAUAAUAGUGAUGUUCUUAAUAAAAUGUACAAAAAAUAUACAGUUUCUGUUAAGUUAUUGGGAAAAUGCCUCAAAUGUUCUAUGUCAAUGUUUGUUGUGAAUUAAAUGAGGAAGAAUUCCAGGAAUUUAUGAAAUAAUAUUGGUUGACUUAUAAUAAACCAGUUUUUAAGCUUAACAAGCACACUGAGUAGCUAUAGUUGUAAGUUAUUAUUGCCUAAGCAUGUACUAUUUUUUAGAAUAAUGAAAAUAUUUAUUAAUGUCGUCUGUGGUCUUCUAUUUGACUUUUCUGAAGUCUGUCGAAGACAGUUGUGAGCAGCAGCAGUGUAAACAACAACAUGGACGACACAACACUCACUACAUCUCUUAUCUCGGAAUUUUCCUCCAUUUUUAUUAUCGUGGAAUAACUACCACUGCAGAACUGACCUAUGAGCUCUGUUCCUGGCGUGGUCAUCCAGGAUAGACGCCAGAUAAAGGAGCAAGACAUUUGUUAAUGAGACUUAUUAACAUUAUUGGACUACUACUGGCCCUUACCUGUUCUACUUGUGGUGCUCCAUCCAAGUGGUAGGAGAUUCCAAAACAUCGGACUAUCACCAUCCGCCCAGGAUAACCUACAUCAAUAAUAUCAGAAGAUCUAUCCAGGGCCUUACCUACUCCUGCCCAACUACAAGAACCGAAGGCCAUUUUUUUUUAUUAUAUUUAAAUUUUAAGUAAAAUCCUCAAAAAUCA